CAGAAGACUCUCCAUG
rnacentral:sRNA from 1 species